rnacentral:rRNA from 1 species
UGGGGAAUAUUGGGCAAUGGAGGGAACUCUGACCCAGCCAUGCCGCGUGCAGGAUGAAGGCGUUAUGCGUUGUAAACUGCUUUUAUAUAGGAAGAAAUAGUCCUUGCGAGGAAAGUUGACGGUACUAUAUGAAUAAGCACCGGCUAACUCCGUGCCAGCAGCCGCGGUAAUACGGAGGGUGCAAGCGUUGUCCGGAUUUAUUGGGUUUAAAGGGUGCGUAGGCGGUUUAUUAAGUCAGUGGUGAAAGACGGUCGCUCAACGAUUGCAGUGCCAUUGAUACUGGUAGACUUGAGUAUGAUUGAGGUAGCUGGAAUGGAUAGUGUAGCGGUGAAAUGCAUAGAUAUUAUCCAGAACACCAAUUGCGUAGGCAAGUUACUAAGUCAUAACUGACGCUGAGGCACGAAAGUGUGGGUAUCAAACAGGAUUAGAUACCCAGGUAGUCCCUGAGCGGGCUGGCAAGGCGCAU